rnacentral:rRNA from 1 species
GUGCAGCAGGCGCGAAAACUUUACAAUGCGGGAAACCGUGAUAAGGGAACCUCGAGUGCUGGCGCAUAGCGUCGGCUGUCCAGAUGCCUAAAAAGCAUCUGAUAGCAAGGGCCGGGCAAGACCGGUGCCAGCCGCCGCGGUAACACCGGCGGCUCGAGUGGUGGCCACGUUUAUUGGGUCUAAAGCGUCCGUAGCCGGCUCGGCAAGUCCCCUGGGAAAUCUGGCGGCUCAACCGUCAGGCGUCCAGAGGAUA